rnacentral:tRNA from 1 species
GGAGAGGUGGCUGAGUGGUCGAAAGCAGCGCUUUGCUAAAGCGCCGUACUCGAAAGGGUACCGGGGGUUCGAAUCCCCCCCUCUCCGCCA